rnacentral:rRNA from 1 species
CUGCCAGUAAUCUUCCUUUCCCCCAAAGAUUAAGACAUGCACAAUUUAGAGGAUCACCCUCGUCUGGUGAUCCUGGUGGAUGGCUCCGUAGUAAAUUACUAGACUACCCGACUGUGAGAUUCUAAGCGGAUACCUUUUGGAAACAACAGCUAAUACGGCAAGAAACUGUCCGCCUCACGGCGGGCUGCUCGCGUUGGCUGAAACCAGCCCUUCGGGUCUUGGUGAGUCACAGCGCCUAGCGUGGUCCCUUUCGGGGCCGAGUCGGUCGUGGUUUUUCUCCAUUAGGUUUCGAAGGUAGUGUGUUGGACUACCUUGCCGGUGAUGGAUAACGGGAGUUUUGGGACUGGCUCCGGAGAAAAAGCCUGAGAGACGGCUUUUAGGUCUAUGGGCUGCAGCAGUUACGAAAAUUGCCCAAUGCUCCUUGAGCGAGGCAGUGACGGGGAUUACCAACGCGCGGCUCUACGAGCCGUGCUCUUGGGAUGAGUACAGAUUAAACCCCUUAACAACGAUCCAGUCGAGGGCAAGUCUGGUGCCAGCAGCCGCGGUAAUUCCAGCUCGACGAAGGAACAUUAAAUUUGUUGCAGUUAAAAAGCUCGUAGUUGGAGUUCCUUGCACGGGGUGGGUUCGAGGGCCGCGAGGUCUUUGAGCUCGGUUCGUGCAAGUGUGGGAGUGUAGGCGGCACUCGCAAGGGCGCCGUUCAAGCUCCCGUGUUACUGUGAACAAAACGGAGCGUUUACGGCAGGUCAUGGCCUGAACGACUCGCACGGAAUAACGAAAUUGGGUGAGGCCCAUUUUGCUGGUUCAAAGCCUCGCUUUGGUUAAUAGGAACGGUCGGGGGUAUUCGAACUGCUGUGCUAGAGGUGAAAUUCUUGGAUUACAGCAUGACGAACGACUGCGAAGGCAUUUACCAAGGAUGUUUUCGUUAAUCAAGAACGAAAGUUCGGGGAUCGAAAAUGAUUAGAUACCAUUGUAGUCCGAACCGUAAUCGAUGCCGACUCGGGAUCUCGUCUCUGAUUUGAGGGGACGGGGCACCGUAUGGGAAACCAUUAAGUCUUAGGGUUCCGGGG